GAUGGAUCCAACUCAAAAAAAAAAAAAUCAUUUGAGUAAUUUAUAAGUGCAUAAUCUGCACAAAAUUAAAUAUCAGGAAGUCCACAUAUGGACUUCUUGAGUCACGGAGUCGAACCAUAAGAAAUCCACCCCCUUGCGGAGUAACGAACAUAGUUCUAAAGGGAGCCCUCGUCAGAAAGAUAAGUCUUUCACCUCGUCUUCCACCUACCAUUCACUUAUCACUUACACGCAUCAUUUCAUAUUGUUAAUUGUCAAAAUUGUUAUCACUAACUACAUUAUUGUGUACCGAUCAGUGUUUAAAAUUUGCAAGAUUAUACUCAAUUCAUUGAGGUGGCCAGUAGAAAGCGCUUUCCAUUGUCCCUGCUCAAUUUCUGACAUCACAGAAUUGUUUUAUUAUUGCUACUGUCCACUGUGAAUUCCUUGCCUCGAGAUUGCCAUCCUCUGGCCUCCAUUCCAACAACGAACCCCAAUCCUUCCAAUUAGUUGUACCACGUUUGCAUUUGUUA